GUGCGCGUGGGGCCGGUCCCGGGAGUCCAGGCUCCCGCGACUCGGCCCCGGCCGGCCGCGCUCGUGCGGGGCGCCUCCCGGUACUCUGCGAUGCUAAGGGAUAAUAAAAGAGCAUCGUAAGAUGAGUCUAUUUUAAUGUUCACGGGUUCCUUUAAAACAUACUCGGCCUCAAAAAUAGAAGUUACCUGUCAUGACGGAGCGUCGUCCACGUGAGAGAUGAGAGAUGAUGGAGCCGGAAGGAGGCAGGAGGGACCAUGGGGAUGGAGGGCACAUGACCACUUGUAAGAAAAAAAUGUCUGCACAUUUCCCAGAUGCCUUGGAGGCUUUGAGCCCUGUCAAAAUACAAAUAUGCUUAUAACGAGGAAUACCUUAAGCUUCUAUCAGUCAUUUACACCUUAUGGUGAAUAUACUCCGGAUCUACGCCUGAAGGCCUGCUUUGAUGCGGAAGAGGGGAUGAGAAGCAGGAUGUGGGUACCAGAGAGAAGAGCUCAGGCUUGCGGAUCCUCAAGCAUUUCCUAAAGGCUGGAAUCCCAGGAUUUGUCAUUGCUGUGUUACGGUUGACCUUUGGCAGAUCAAGUCUCUUUCCCACUGCUUGGUCAAGAGCUCUGGUCUUCCAAAGUUCAGCCCAAAUGUCACUCCCGUUGUGAAGUCUUCCUGAUCACGGUUCCCACACACCUAGUGCAACAGUCACCUGUGAGCUACGAAACCAACUGUGGACAUCGCUGUUUUAGCCCUUAUUAUAUUAUACUGUAAAUUUUUGUGCAUUUUUACAUCUCCACCCCUAGACUGAGUGCUCCAGGAAGGCACCCCACAUUUUUUUUUUAAUAUCCAGGGCCUAAUGUAGGACCUGGUAUUCCAUUAGUGUUUGUGGAAUGAAUGAAUGACCUCUGCAACCUGUCAGUGUGAUAAGAGGGCAACAUCACCUCCUCCCCCAGCAUGGUACCAAUGUGACUGAUAUCCCUGAGUUCCUCUGACACUUCCUGAACAGUCACGAAGUCCCUACGCAUGAGAAUGUAUCCUUAGUAAUCAAUUCAUUAUUCUAAGGAAAUUAAGCAGAAUCCUUCCCAUGUCAGGAUAUGGGCAGCAGUUUCAGAAGAUCGCCCAGUAGAACCAUAUUAUUGCAAGACAAGUGCCAGCCACUCUGCUCAUCCAGAUGCACUUCAUGGUGGUUGGUGCAGGAAAGAGAAAGUGAGACAACCUCCCUCCUGCAACAAGACAGAGCAUCAGCAUUCUCUCCUGGAGCUGGAGAACUUCCCACGGCAUGACCUCCUCAGGGUCCCUCCUUAACAAAUGGGGAGUUUUGCCUUGGGACAAUAUGAAAGAAAAGUUCCCCACUCCAUGUAACAAGAGUCAAAGACGGAGGAACAGCUAUCAUGGAUGUUUCAAUAAUUUUCAGUCGGCAGUAUCGGAGGAGAUAUCUGGAAGAACAUGGGGGAAAUAAGAUUUUCGUGGAGAGGACCAUACAUAUAACUUCUAACUAGCAUGAAAAAAGACUUUUUGGCCACUUGUAGACUUAGCAUUUUUUUAAAAGGUGCUAUAACUAAAAUAUACUGCUGCAAAAUCUUUGUCAGUAUAAUUCC